GAUGAACGCUGGCGGCGUGCCUAAUACAUGCAAGUCGAGCGAACAGACGAGGAGCUUGCUCCUCUGACGUUAGCGGCGGACGGGUGAGUAACACGUGGAUAACCUACCUAUAAGACUGGGAUAACUUCGGGAAACCGGAGCUAAUACCGGAUAAUAUAUUGAACCGCAUGGUUCAAUAGUGAAAGACGGUUUUGCUGUCACUUAUAGAUGGAUCCGCGCCGCAUUAGCUAGUUGGUAAGGUAACAGCUUACCAAGGCAACGAUGCGUAGCCGACCCUAGGGGGGGAUCGGCGACUGUGGAAGUGAGAGACCGUCCAGACUCCUACGGGAGGCAGCAGUAGGUAACCUUCCGCAAUGGGCGAAAGCCUGACGGAGCAACGCCGCGUGAGUGAUGAAGGGCUUCGGAUCGUAAAACUCUGUUAUUAGUGAAGAACAAAUGUGUAAGUAACUAUGCACGUCUUGACGGUACCGAAACAGAAAGCCACGGCUAACUACGU
rnacentral:rRNA from 1 species